GCAACGUCGCGGAGAGAGACUGCGCGAGUGCUGGUGUCGGCGCGCGGCGGAAGUUGGGAAAGGCGUGACGUCAGAUUUGUGGUUUUGUAUCUUCAGGGAAAAUUCCAACCAGUGAGAUCCCUACAUCAAAAGGGAGAGGAAGAGAGACAGAGCAUGAGCAGGA